GAUGAACGCUGGCGGCGUGCCUAAUACAUGCAAGUCGAGCGAACAGACGAGGAGCUUGCUCCUCUGACGUUAGCGGCGGACGGGUGAGUAACACGUGGAUAACCUACCUAUAAGACUGGGAUAACUUCGGGAAACCGGAGCUAAUACCGGAUAAUAUAUUGAACCGCAUGGUUCAAUAGUGAAAGACGGUUUUGCUGUCACUUAUAGAUGGAUCCGCGCCGCAUUAGCUAGUUGGUAAGGUAACGGCUUACCAAGGCAACGAUGCGUAGCCGACCUGAGAGGGUGAUCGGCCACACUGGAACUGAGACACGGUCCAGACUCCUACGGGAGGCAGCAGUAGGGAAUCUUCCGCAAGGGGCGAAAGCCUGACGGAGCAACGCCGCGUGAGUGAUGAAGGUCUUCGGAUCGUAAAACUCUGUUAUUAGGGAAGAACAAAUGUGUAAGUAACUAUGCACGUCUUGACGGUACCUAACCAGAAAGCCACGGCUAACUACGUG
rnacentral:rRNA from 1 species